AGAGCGAACGCUGGCGGCAGGCCUAAUACAUGCAAGUCGAACGGAUCCUUCGGGAUUAGUGGCGGACGGGUGAGUAACACGUGGGAACGUGCCCUUUGGUUCGGAACAACUCAGGGAAACUUGAGCUAAUACCGAAUGUGCCCUUCGGGGGAAAGAUUUAUCGCCAUUGGAGCGGCCCGCGUCUGAUUAGCUAGUUGGUGGGGUAAAGGCCCACCAAGGCGACGAUCAGUAGCUGGUCUGAGAGGAUGAUCAGCCACACUGGGACUGAGACACGGCCCAGACUCCUACGGGAGGCAGCAGUAGGGAAUCUUGCGCAAUGGGCGAAAGCCUGACGCAGCCAUGCCGCGUGAAUGAUGAAGGUCUUAGGAUUGUAAAAUUCUUUCAGCGGGGACGAUAAUGACGGUACCCGCAGAAGAAGCUCCGGCUAACUUCGCGCCAGCAGCCGC
rnacentral:rRNA from 1 species